rnacentral:rRNA from 1 species
GAGACAUAUGUUGAAUUGAAUCAUUCGAGCAGCGGACGGGUGAGUAAAGCACAAGGACUUGUCCGAAAGAGAGGGACACCUGCGGGAAACCGGAGCUAAUACCUCAUAAGCCGGAAGGUGAAAAGCAGAGAUGCGCUUUUGGAGAGACUUGUGUCCUAUCAGGCAGUUGGUGAGGUGAAAGCUCACCAAACCGAAGACGGGUAGCCGGACUGAGAGGUCGACCGGCCACAUUGGAACUGAGAGACGGUCCAGACUCCUACGGGAGGCAGCAGUGGGGAAUAUUGGGCAAUGGGCGGAAGCCUGACCCAGCGACGCCGCGUGAGGGAAGACAGCCUUCGGGUUGUAAACCUCUGUUGCAGGGGAAGAAGGAAGUGACGGUACCCUGCGAGGAAGCUCCGGCUAACUACGUGCCAGCAGCCGCGGUAAUACGUAGGGAGCGAGCGUUGUCCGGAAUUACUGGGCGUAAAGGGCGCGUAGGCGGCGCUUCAAGUCGUCUGUCAAAUGGAAGGGCUUAACCCUUUUUCGCAGACGAAGCUGGAGAGCUUGAGAAGCAGAGAGGCAAACAGAAUUCCUGGUGUAGCGGUGAAAUGCGUAGAUAUCAGGAAGAAUACCAGUGGCGAAGCGGUUUGCUGGCUGCAUACUGACGCUGAAGCGCGAAAGCCAGGGGAGCGAACGGGAUUAGAUACCCCGGUAG